rnacentral:rRNA from 1 species
GAUGAACGCUGGCGGCGUGCCUAAUACAUGCAAGUCGAGCGAACAGAUGAGGAGCUUGCUCCUCUGACGUUAGCGGCGGACGGGUGAGUAACACGUGGAUAACCUACCUAUAAGACUGGGAUAACUUCGGGAAACCGGAGCUAAUACCGGAUAAUAUAUUGAACCGCAUGGUUCAAUAGUGAAAGACGGUUUUGCUGUCACUUAUAGAUGGAUCCGCGCCGCAUUAGCUAGUUGGUAAGGUAACGGCUUACCAAGGCAACGAUGCGUAGCCGACCUGAGAGGUGAUCCGGCCACCCUGAAACUGAGCCGGGGCCCAGACCCCUAGGGGGGGCAGCAGGGGGAAUUUUCCCGAAUGGGGGAAAGCCUUGAGGGGCCACCCCGGGGGGGGGAAUGAAGUUCUUGGAUUCAAAAACCUUUUUUAUGGGGAAAAAAAAAAUGUGAAAGUAACGAUGCCCUUGUGACCGGUCCUAAACAAGAAGGCCCCGGCAACCUACG